CCUUUUCUUCUUAUUUCAGAGAAAGCAUGUACACCAUCUUAAGAAUUAUGGAGAACUGGCGGCAAUCACACUGAAGAGAAAACAUGCCCCUAAGACUCCCUCCACCAUCAAGCAGAGAACAUUACUGAAGACAGUGUCUCUAAAAUCCAUCGACAAAGCUGUGGUGAAGUAUGUGGUCCAAGGGCUCCAACCAUUCGCAGUUGUAGAACAAGAACCGUUCAGAGUUUGUCCAGGAUCUGCAGCCUAACUCAAAGAUCUUAUCAAGGCCCACACUGCGCUCCAGGAUUGAUGAAGCCUCUACGGAAAUGAAGAAGAAGGUGACUGAGGCCAUGAGAGGAGUUGACCACAUCGCCACCACCACCGACUGCUGGUUUGCAAGAAGACGGAGCUUCAUUGGUGUUACAGCCCACUGGAUAGACCCUGACAGUCUCAACAGAUGCUCUGCAGUCCUGGCCUGUAAACGGUUGAGAGGAUCGCACACCUUUGAUGUGUUGGCAGGCGUCCUAAAUUACAUCCAUUCUGAGUUUGAAAUCCGGGGUAAGAUUGUGAGAACAACAACAGACAACGGCUCUAACUUCUUGAAAGCUUUCCCAAGUUUUUGGAGAAGAUGAAAACAAUGAGGCAGUGUAAGCAGUGGGUGGUGAAGCAGCUCAGCCAGGACAGGAAGAUGGUGAAGAGGAACAAGAGGAGAGUGAAGAAGUGGAGUUUGUUGAUGUGGCAACAAUCCUGGCUGAGCUGAAUGAAGAUUAUGGUUUUGAGUACCAGCUGCCGAAGCACCAGCGCUGUGCUUGCCACCUACUCAACUUAGUAUCUACAGUCGAUGCCCUGAAAGCAACAUCCAGUGAGGCUUACAAAAAAGUGUCCAGUUCAACAUUUGGCAAGUGCCAAUGACUUUGGAACAAAUGUGGAAGAUCCACACUUGCAGCCGAAACGGUUGAAGAUGCUUGCGACCUCCAGCUGCUGCGCCCGAAUGCUACAAGGUGGAACUCCUGGUUCAUGGCUGUAGAAAGACUCCUGAGGAUCGUCAAAGACAAAGGAGAGGCGGCCGUCAGAGUUCUCUGCACAGAUUUCGAGGUUCCAAUGUUCAAUCCAGCUGAACUCGCCUUCCUCAGAGUAUGCUGCCACUAUGAGCCCAGUCGCAAAGGCCAUCAACAUCCUGCAGGCUGAAACCAAUGUCCAGAUGGGGUGGCUACUUCCAACUAUCAACCUGCUGAUCACAAAACUUGACCGAAUCAAGUUGUCCCUGAAGUACUGUAAGCCUCUGGUGGAUGCGCUACAACUGGGACUGACGAAGCGCUUCAGCCACGUUUCACGACCCUGAGCUGAUCGCAGCUGCAAUCCUUCUCCCCAAAUUCAAAACAACAUGGACAAAGGAUGACGCCAACAUCUGAAUGGGAAUGGACUACAUCAAGGACCACCUGGAAGAACCCUUGCUGCAGCUCGGUAAUGGCACCAGUUCAUCAGAUGAGGACUUCUUCUCUGGCAUGAAGACGUCUCAAGCACAAGAAAGCUCCAAACAGCUGGAUGGAUACCUGGCCUGUUCAGCUGAUCAUAUGGAGUUGCUCAAGUCCUUCCCGGCAGUCUGUAAUCUGUCUCUGAGGCUAAACACACCCUUACCUGUGAAAGGCUGUUCCGCAUUGCAGGACUUGUUUUCGGCCCCAGGAGAGCAAGGCUGGAUUCCAGAAACUUUGAAAACCAGCUUUUACUGAAGAUGAACCGUAAAUUCUUCAACUUCAAGUAAUGACAGCUUAACGCUAGCAAGCCCAAGGUCACGGAGGCCUUAUGCGUUUUGUUAAUUUAUGUUUAAAAUUCACAAGUUAUAGGUGUCCUUGUUACAAAGGCAUGACCUGACACACUGCUUUUCCACCGCUGCUUAAUAUAAGGAAUUUGAUGUAUAACAUUUACUUAAGUAUGAUGAUUGAGUAC